rnacentral:snoRNA from 1 species
AAGACCUUACUUCUACAGGAUCAUUUCUGCAGUAAGUGGUCGAUUGCAAAUAAUGUAAAAUUUUGCGAAAAAUAAACCAUGAUGAGGAAUCAUAGUGUUUUUUCCUUGAGCGUGAGUAAAGACUGUUUGGUUCUCAUUUUGUAGAAACUUGCAGUCAUCGAUGAUCGCUGGUUCUGCCGGAAACGGUGGGACGUGGGAAGAACACUUUCUGAGUGGU